rnacentral:miRNA from 1 species
UGUUUCAACUCGUUUCUACUCAUGGUGCCUUGUUCUAUGAGGAAAUAAUAAUUUUCUCAUACAGUGACCAGUAUAAAGCAAAAAAUAACCAAACAUAGAACCAGGCACCAUGAGUAGAAACAAGUUGAA